UACGUAGGGGGGCAAGCGUUGUCCGGAAUCAUUGGGCGUAAAGCGCGUGUAGGCGGCCCGGUAAGUCCGCUGUGAAAGUCGGGGGCUCAACCCUCGAAUGCCGGUGGAUACUGUCGGGCUAGAGUGCGGAAGAGGCGAGUGGAAUUCCUGGUGUAGCGGUGAAAUGCGCAGAUAUCAGGAGGAACACCAAUUGCGAAGGCAGCUCGCUGGGGACGUGACUGACGU
rnacentral:rRNA from 1 species